GACGAACCGUCCAAACGUUAUUCGGUAUCACUGGGCUUAAAGCGUGCGUAGGCGGCCUGGUAGGUGAGAUGUGAAAGCCCACGGCUCAACCGUGGGAUUGCGUUUCAAACCACCAGGCUGGAGGAUGGCAGGGGUGAUGGGAACUGAUGGUGGAGCGGUGAAAUGCGUUGAUAUCAUCAGGAACACCGGUGGCGAAGGCGCAUCACUGGCCCAUUUCUGACGCUGAGGCACGAAAGCGUGGGGAUCAAACAGGAUUAGAUA
rnacentral:rRNA from 1 species